rnacentral:rRNA from 1 species
AUUCCAGCUCCAAUAGCGUAUAUUAAAGUUGUUGCGGUUAAAAAGCUCGUAGUUGGAUUUCUGCUGAGGACGACUGGUCCGCCCCCUGGGUGAGCAUCUGGUUCGGCCUGGGCAUCUUCUUGGGGAACGUAUCUGCACUUGAUUGUGUGGUGCGGUAUCCAGGACUUUUACUUUGAGGAAAUUAGAGUGUUUCAAGCAGGCCCGCGCCUUGAAUACAUUAGCAUGGAAUAAUAAGGUAGGACCUCGGUUCUAUUUUGUUGGUUUCUAGAGCUGAGGUAAUGAUUAACAGGGACAGUCAGGGGCACUCGUAUUCCGCCGAGAGAGGUGAAAUUCUCAGACCAGCGGAAGACGAACCACUGCGAAAGCAUUUGCCAGGGAUGUUUUCAUUA